rnacentral:rRNA from 1 species
ACCCGCUGAACUUAAGCAUAUCAAUAAGCGGAGGAAAAGAAACUAACAAGGAUUCCCCUAGUAACGGCGAGUGAAGCGGGAAGAGCUCAAAUUUGAAAUCUGGUGGCCUCAGGUCAUCCGAGUUGUAAUCUAUAGAAGUGUUUUCCGUGCUGGCUCAUGUACAAGUCCCUUGGAACAGGGCGUCAUAGAGGGUGAGAAUCCCGUCCUUGACAUGAACUACCAGUGCUCUGUGAUACAUUUUCAACGAGUCGAGUUGUUUGGGAAUGCAGCUCAAAAUGGGUGGUAAAUUCCAUCUAAAGCUAAAUAUUGGCGAGAGACCGAUAGCGAACAAGUACCGUGAGGGAAAGAUGAAAAGCACUUUGGAAAGAGAGUUAAACAGUAUGUGAAAUUGUUGAAAGGGAAACGAUUGAAGUCAGUCGUGCUCUUUGGAUUCAGCCGGUUCUGCCGGUGUACUUCCUUUGAGUGGGGUCAACAUCAGUUUUGAUCGCUGGAUAAAGGUAGGAGGAACGUAGUACCCUCGGGUAAACUUAUAGCCUCUUGUCACAUACAGUGGUUGGGACUGAGGAACGCAGCACGCCUUUAUGGCCGGGAUUCGUCCACGUACGUGCUUAGGAUGUUGACAUAAUGGCUUU